GGCCCGAUCGCGGCAUCUGGGCACAGCGCUCCUGGUGUCCACACUGCCAUCAGCCCGGGGGUGCUUGCGCUGGACGGGAAGCCUCGUCCAGCCGCACUCUGGUCAAGACCGGCAGGGACACCUGGAAUGACGCCCCAGCUGCCUUCCCUGCCGGAAAGCUGGGGGCCGGUGACCUUCUAGUAGGCUGCCUGACCCAGGAGUCCCGCUGUGCCACGCGUCCCCAUCCCGAGCUUUGGGUAGGGCAGGGGCGGCUGCCCGAGUGGGCGGACAUGCCACGUGGGCAAGCAGUAUGGACAUCUUCAGCUCCGGCUGCCUCCUGCAGCCCGUGCCCCUGAGGGCCUGAGUGCGGGGCAGUUAGGUCUGCCCGUGCCCAGCAGUGGCAGGUGAGUGGGCAUGGGCAUGGACACUUGCCGGUGAGACCUUUGCUUUUCCUGCUUUCCCCUGGAGAGCCAACUUAUGCAACAGAGCCGUGUGUGGCCGUUUGGCGUGCAGGAUGAGCGGGGCACAGAGAUGAUGGUGAGGUUGGCUGGUCACCCCAAGCACAGGGCAGCUGCGAAGACAGAGGCUCCCUCCCACCUCCCAUCCUGCUCACCCUUCAUCUGCUGUGCAAGGCUCUGACUCUGUCCUCGGUUGUGGGCCAGCGGAGCACCUCCAGGGAAGAGACUGGCUGUUUCCUUUAGCACUGUCUGCACGUGUCACCUCUGGGGCAGGGAUAAAUGCUGGGCAGCUGGCUAUCGGGGCAGUGAGGUGUCCUGAGAGGUUUACCAGCUUCCUGGAUUGUUGCCUACUCAGGCCUUUGGAAGCCCCAGGCAGGGAGAGUGAAAGCCCAGAGCUUUCUGCCAACUGGCUGGGCACGGACUCUGCAGGGUCAUCUCUCAGCCUCCCCCCAUGCUGAGGACUCACUGGCCCCUCUCCACACCCUUGGGAAGAGGGCUUAUUCCCCCAGCAGGCAGGGAUUCUAUAUGUACUGUCCUAGGCCAAGGCUGCUCAGAGGCCCCAACCUCUAGGCUCUUCCACUCUCCUGGGUCUGUGGCUCAGCUCAGAAAGCCCCUGCCUGGACUGUCCAUGCCCCCUGCACCCCACUGCCACCAGGUCCUGCCUCAGCAUUAGGACGAGGCAGGUGCACACCUGAGUGUGGCUUAGCUGCUCCCAGGCAGGCCCUGGUCUGCACGCCAGCCCUGAGUGGCCCCCACCUUCGUCACGGCUGGGUGGCAGGCCUGAGCUUUUCGGGGUGUGGGGGUGGAAGUCACCCUGACCAGGACUCAUCCAGAUAGACGAGGAGACUGGUGCAGGGUCACACUGUGCUCCUGCGGAGGGACAGGGCCUCAGGAGGCAGCUGAGCCCAUGGUGACCAGGCUUAGCUUCUGGACUCAGCUGCACAUACUGGCAGCCCCUCACCCAGGACAGGCCACUCCCUAGAGGAUGGGGUAGGAGGAUGGGGGAGCCUGUACUGCUGGCUUCUGGUUCAGAUUUCUCAGGAGGGAGGAUGGCAUCAGGCACUGUGACUGGCCAGUCAACCACUCCUGAGGCCACCACAAGCCGCACAGACAGGGUGGGGCAUGGACAGCAAAAGGCACAGAGAAGUGCUCAGUCAGGAGGCAGUGUCAGGGAGGGCACAGAUCUGUCACCCAGGUGGAAAGGACGAAGCUCUGGGGGAGGCAGCCCCACCCCCACUCUGGGGAAUGUGCUGGUUGGGGAGCUCAGCCCCACCUGAGGGCACCAACCAAGUGAGGGGAGAAAGUGGAAAUGCAAAAUCAGGCACAGUGGCACAUACCUGUAAUCCCAGAACUCAGGAGGCUGAGGCAGGAGGAUUGCUGGGAGUUCAAGGCCACCGUGGGCUACAUAGUGAGUUCAAGGCCUGUCUGAAUUUCAAAAAAGGCAGGAAACAGAUGGAAGCCAGGAGGAAAAAGGGCCAGGAGAAGGAGAGGGAGUGGGGCUGGAGCUAGAGCUAGGGAACCUGACAAAUUGAUAAUCAAAGAAAUUGCCCCACUCAGAGAAGGUGUGACCACAGUGCCAGGGCAGUGGUGGAAUCGCAGGCAGGGUUAAAGGAAAAGACACCUCUGAAACCCACAGAUGGAACUGCAGAGUAAGUUCUUGCCAAAGAAACAACCUCACUGGCCUGCACAGCCUGGGAAUCCCGCCCCAUAGCCCACUGUCCUGCAGAACAGCCAGGGACGAGGGACGGGACCAGGGAAGAUCAGCCAGUGGCAGGCCAUCAGAGCAGAGGCCCAAGAGAUGACGGCGUGGUCUUGGAGCCUCCUGAAGGUCAUAAGAAGGCGGGGCCAGAGGGGCAGAGAGCACCCUGGGGUGCUGGGGUCUUGCUGCCAGUCCUGAUUAAGAAAGGUUAGAAAGAGGAAGGCACUUCGUCGAAUUUAGAAAUUUUUGAAAAGCAAAAAGAGGAUAAACCGUCAUUUGCCCGAACCUGCACAAAUGUGGAAAGUAAAAGGAGUAAACUCAAUCACAUAAACAGAGAGUAAUGUCAGAUCUCACUUGUUUCGGUGAAACCUGAGAGGCUUCAGACUAGCUUGGGAACAAAUGCCAGCUGUGGGUUGUUUCCAAGAAACAUCUAAAACAGUUAAGAAAAGAUUCAGAGCUAAGAGUUGGACAAAACUCAAUGGGCAAGGCGAUCCCAGACCUGGGGAGUCUGAGGCAGGAGGACCAAAAGGAGUUUGAGGCUUUCGAGGCCACCCUGGACUACAGAGCAAGACCCUGGAAAAAACAAAAUGAGAGGCUGGAGACUAGAAAGGCUGGUGGUAGAAUGCUUGGGAAGAGUUCAGUCCCCGGCACAGUGAGAGGGCAAGAGAUAGAGGAAAGGAUCUUUUUUUGAGGGGUGGAACUCAGGGCUUCCUGCAUGCUAGGAAAGCUCUCUGCCACGGAGCUGCACCCCCAGCCCAAAGUGGAACUCUGUUAAAUGCACACCGGAAGUUGUAGGGAGGGGAGUACAGGACCCGUAUCGGUUACUUGACCGCCCUAGCCUCAGUUUCUCCUUCUGCGACGUGGGAUCACAUCCUGCGACACUGAGAAGUGUUUGUGAGCCACUCAGAGACUGCACGCAGCCUCACCCUGGGUCAGCACUUCCCGGGGCCCACGGCCUGGAGAUGGGGGGCUGCCCAUCCCAGAAACGCUGUGUGCGGCAUUCAGGGCGAUCUCCGGGGUCAGCGACCCCAACUCUGGCGUGGCGGGCGUGCUCGUGGGACACCCCUUUGACACCGUCAAGGAAAUGUCCCUCCGCUCGCCAUGCAGAGCUGGGCAUGGAGCAAAGGGAGACAAGCUGGCACCAACAAGAACGCCUUGACACAAGGUGAAGCUGCUGUCCCCGCCCCCGCUCCACCCACUCGUGACCACGGCCUUCACGGAGGGGCUGCUGGUGGGACCCGAGAGCAGCACCAAGUCCUUUCCCAGUGCCUGCCCCAAACCAGGGUCAGGGAUGGAACACAGUGGGAGCCCUGUGGCCAUGGCUUAGGAUGGCACUAAAUGGGGUGACAGGUGUCCAUGGUCCCCUGCGGCCCUCCUGAUGACCAGAGGUUUCGCCCCGACUCAUCUGAGAUGUUGGGGACACCUUUCCUGAAGAGGUUUGGGUCCCUGGCUCUGCCAUCCUAGGGUCCCCCUCAGUGCGCCCCCAUCCAUCCUUGCAGGUGCGGCUGCAGGUGCAGAGCGUGGAGAAACCGCAGUACCGGGGGACCCUGCACUGCUUCCAGUCCAUUGUCAGGCAGGAGAGUGUGAGUGCCUGGCUGUGCACCCGGGUGGGCUGGGCUGGGCUGGGAUGGGAUGGGAUUCCCUCCCGGGGGGCUACAGUGAGGGCUGCGACCUGGGAGCCUGCUAUGGUGAGUGCCUGGGCCUCCUGGAUCCAGGGCUUUGGCCUUGAUAAAAUACUCCUUGGGCGGAGGCAUAGAGGCCCACAGCUGUAACCCCAGCACUGGGAGGCUGAGGAGGGAGAAUCACAAGUUCAAGUUUUACCGGGACCCUCCGAAAAGGGCAGAGGAUGUGGAUCAGUGACUCGGUGCCCAGGAAAACACACACACACACACACA